UACGUAGGUGACCAGCGUUGUCCGGAUUUACUGGGCGUAAAGAGCGCGCAGGCGGUCGUUCAAGUCGAGUGUGAAAGCCCCCGGCUCAACUGGGGAGGGUCACUCGAUACUGAUCGACUUGAAGGCAGGAGAGGGAAGCGGAAUUCCCGGUGUAGUGGUGAAAUGCGUAGAUAUCUGGAGGAACACCGGUGGCGAAGGCGGCGUCCUGGACCAACACUGACACUGAGGAGCGAAAGCCAGGGGAGCAAACGGG
rnacentral:rRNA from 1 species